UGUCAGCACAGAACCCGAUGGCGGGGCUCGAACCCACGAACGCGAGAUCAUGACCGGACCCGAGCUGAAGUCGGACGCUCAACCGAGCCACCCAGACGCCUCGACAAGGUGUUAGUCUUGAGGCUACUCUUUCCCGGACCCGUGUCGCCACACUGCGUCUUCCACAUGACCUUGGCAAAGCUCAGAUACAGGGCUGACCGCAGUCCUCCCCUGGCUAAAUCCCUCAGCAGCUCCCCAGUGCCUUUUCGAGGAAGGUCACCCUUCUUGGCUCGGUACACGAGGCCACGAAUAGACUGUCUCCUCCCGCCCCAGCCAGCCUACACUUGGCAGGUCCCUCUGGCGUCCUGCUCUGUCUGACCUCUAACACCUGCUUGCCCUUCAGGUCUCCCUUCUCUCUGGAGCCCCGGUGGGGUGCCCUGUGCAUCCCCACAGCCUGUGUGUGGACGUUCCUCUAGAAUGCAGACCGUGCAUCCUGUGAAAGUCCCCCCGGCGGUGAGCGUCACAAGGGCACGGUACAUCUAUUAUCUGCCCUCUGUCUCCAGCUCUCUGCACAUCGCUUGGCAUUUGCUUUAAAAUGUAGGUUUUAUGCCUAUUCAGGGGUGGUGAGGCCACUAGACCAGGAGACGAUUGUCAUGAAAAAGAUACUUUGCUACUCACAGAUGUCAAGAGGAGGGGGCACGCCAUCCUCACAGGGCCACAGGGGGAAGCACCGUGUGGUGCUUGGCCAGGAGGCAGAGGGAGUGAGGGGAAAAGGUGGGUGAGAGCCUGUAGUCUGGUGUCCGCGGGAGGGAAUGGGUGAGGCGGCCCGUGUGGCUCAGGACUGGCUAGUUUGCAUAAUUUCCGCAGGCUCCGGGGUACAGGGCUUGUCUCUUAGUGGUCUGACACCUGGCUCUGGGGUGAUCAGGGCCGGGACAGUGGCCCUGAGUGUGAGAGCCCCAUAAAGGAGAGGGUCUGGGUGCGGGCUCCAGACUGGCCGCUUCGCCUGCGGAAGGUGCACUCACGACUCAUUUGCUCUCUCUAGGAUCUGCCAGCCCCGGGAGGGGCACUCAGUCCUUCCAUGAUCAGGUAGGCGCCAGCUGUCAAGACGUCCUGAUACACAAGACAUGCUUGGAGCACAGAGGAUUUUCAGGGCAGUGAGGUACUCUGUAUGAGGCCACAAUGAUGGGUACAGGUCAUCAAGCAUUUGCUCAAACCCAUAAAACGUCCAACACCAGGAGUGGACUCGAACGUAAACUAUGGACUUUGGAUGACAAUGCUGUCAGCACAGGCCUGUCGAUGGUAACAAAUGCACCCUUUGGUGCGGGAUGUUGAUAACCAGGGAAUAUCCAUUUGGGGCAAAUAUCCAUUUGGGGCAAAGGGUAUAUGGGAGAUCUCUGUACCUUCCCCCCAGUUUUGCUGGGAAAAUUGAACUUCCCAGAAAAAAAAGUCUUAAUAAACAUAAGAAAGAAUCAGGACAAAAUUAUGGCCUGACGGUUAUCUGUGGCUAGAACCUCACUGCUUCCCAAGGUUAGCCGCUAGCCACCACGUGUGGCUAUUUGGCAUCUGA
rnacentral:lncRNA from 1 species